UACGGAGGGGGCUAGCGUUGUUCGGAAUUACUGGGCGUAAAGCGCACGUAGGCGGCUUGGUAAGUUAGAGGUGAAAGCCUGGAGCUCAACUCCAGAAUUGCCUUUAAGACUGCCGAGCUAGCAGGUGAGAGAGGUGAGUGGAAUUCCGAGUGUAGAGGUGAAAUUCGUAGAUAUUCGGAAGAACACCAGUGGCGAAGGCGACUACCUGGCCUGUUUCUUGACGCUGAGGCGCGAAAGCUAGGGGAGCAAACGGG
rnacentral:rRNA from 1 species